AUAUUUACGCAUUUCUUGUAGAAAACAAGCUCAAUAGAACUGCAAAGGCUUUUCUAAAGGAGGCUGGAAAUUUUAAAUCAACCAAUCAAGAUGGCAGUAUCAUAGACUGGUAUGAAGCCUGGAAGACAGCACAAUUGAGCUCUCAGCAAGUGAAAAGGAAAAGAAAGGAAAGUAAAAAA